rnacentral:piRNA from 1 species
CUGGUUGACAAUUGGUUGAGUUUGUCUGA